AUUAAAUGAGAGUUUGAUCCUGGCUCAGGACGAACGCUGGCGGCGUGCCUAAUACAUGCAAGUAGAA
rnacentral:rRNA from 2 species